UUCGCCUGUUUAUCAAAAACAUGUCUGUAUGUUAAAAUAUAAAGUCUAGCCUGCCCACUGAUAAGGAAUUAAAGGGCUGCGGUAGCCUGACCGUGCUAAGGUAGCAUAAUCAAUAGYCUCUUAAUUAGAGACUUGGAUGAAUGGCUGAAUGAGAGGGUAGCUGUUUUUUCUUUAUUUAUWGAACUUAACUUUUAAGUGAAAAGGCUUAAAUUAUUUAGGGGGACGAUAAGUCCCUAUAAAACUUAAUAUARAUUGUUUAUAGGUAGAAAAUUUUAAAAUAAAUUGUUUAUAACAGAGUUUAUUUCAUUGGGGUGAUGRUAAUAUAAAUAAUAACUGUUAAAUAAAUAUAAUAGAUAUAACUAGGUAGUGAUCCUUCAUUGAGGAUUAAAAGAAUAAGUUACUUUAGGGAUAACAGCGUAAUUUUUUCUGAGAGUUCUUAUCGAUGAAAAUGGUUGCGACCUCGAUGUUGAAUUAAAAUUUCGAUUGGGUGUAGCCGCUCAAUAAGUAAGUCUGUUCGACUUUUGAUAUUUUACAUGAUUUGAGUUCAAACCGGUGUGAGCCAGGUUGGGUUUCUAUCUAAA
rnacentral:rRNA from 1 species